rnacentral:rRNA from 1 species
GGAGGAUGCAAGGGUGAUCCGGAAUUUCUGGUCGUAAAGCGUUUGUAGGUGGUUUAAUAAGGCAACUGGUAAAUCUUAAAGCUUAACUUUAAAAUCGCAGUCGAAACUAUUAGACUAGAGUAUAGUAGGGGUAAAGGGAAUUUCCAGUGGAGCGGCGAAAUGCGUAGAGAUUGGAAAGAACACCGAUGGCGAAGGCACUUUACUGGGCUAUUACUAACACUCAGAGACGAAAGCUAGGGUAGCAAAUGGGAUUAGAUACCCUCGUAGUCCAUGCCGUAAACGAUGUGUGUUAGACGUUGGAAAUUUAUUUUCAGUGUCGCAGCGAAAGCGAUAAACACACCGCCUGGGGAGUACGACCGCAAGGUUAAAACUCAAAUGAAUUGACGGGGACCCGCACAAGUAGUGGAGCAUGUGGUUUAAUUCGAAGAUACGCGCAGAACCUUACCAACACUUGACAUGUUCGUCGCGACUUUAAGAGAUUAAAGUUUUCGGUUCGGCCGGACGAAACACAGGUGCUGCAUGGCUGUCGUCAGCUCGUGUCGUGAGAUGUUGGGUUAAGUCCCGCAACGAGCGCAACCCUCACUUUUAGUUGCCAUCAUUUAGUUGGGCACUCUGAAAGAACUGCCAGUGAUAAGCUGGAGGAAGGUGGGGAUGACGUCAAGUCCUCAUGGCCCUUACGUGUUGGGCUACACACGUGCUACAAUGGUAUUUACAAAAAGAAGCAAGACGGCGACGUUAAGCAAAUCCUUAAAAAAUACCUCAGUUCGGAUUGCACUCUGCAACUCGAGUGCAUGAAGCUGGAAUUACUAGUAAUCGUGGAUCAGCGUGCCACGGUGAAUGCGUUCCCGGGUCUU